UACGGAGGAUGCAAGCGUUAUCCGGAUUCAUUGGGUUUAAAGGGUGCGUAGGCUGUCUAUUAAGUCAGUGGUGAAAUCCUGCAGCUUAACUGCAGAACUGCCGUUGAUACUGAUAGUCUUGAGUUUGGUUAAGGUAGGCGGAAUGUGUAAUGUAGUGGUGAAAUGCUUAGAUAUUACACAGAACACCAAUUGCGUAGGCAGCUUACUGAGCCGACACUGACGCUGAGGCACGAAAGCGUGGGGAUCAAACA
rnacentral:rRNA from 1 species